UUGAUUUAUUUUGUAAAUCACUCAGACGACAUUGUUAUGCAAGAGUUUGAUAUGGUCCACCGGAGGGCCCCGGCCCGAAGGCAGGGUCACCCCCGAGGCAACAGAGUCGGACGACAAAGGGUUUGUGACGUCCCGCACACCGGAGCGCGCGGGUAGUUACAGUUAAUGAUCCCUCCGCAGGUUCACCUACGGAGA
rnacentral:misc_RNA from 1 species